rnacentral:rRNA from 1 species
GAUGAACGCUGGCGGCGUGCCUAAUACAUGCAAGUCGAGCGAACAGAUAAGGAGCUUGCUCCUUUGACGUUAGCGGCGGACGGGUGAGUAACACGUGGAUAACCUACCUAUAAGACUGGGAUAACUUCGGGAAACCGGAGCUAAUACCGGAUAACAUAUUGAACCGCAUGGUUCAAUAGUGAAAGGCGGCUUUGCUGUCGCUUAUAGAUGGAUCCGCGCCGUAUUAGCUAGUUGGUAAGGUAACGGCUUACCAAGGCAACGAUACGUAGCCGACCUGAGAGGGUGAUCGGCCACACUGGAACUGAGACACGGUCCAGACUCCUACGGGAGGCAGCAGUAGGGAAUCUUCCGCAAAGGGCGAAAGCCUGACGGAGCAACGCCGCGUGAGUGAUGAAGGUCUUCGGAUCGUAAAACUCUGUUAUCAGGGAAGAACAAAUGUGUAAGUAACUGUGCACAUCUUGACGGUACCUGAUCAGAAAGCCACGGCUAACUACGUG